GAUUACAGUCUAUGACCCUGAACACGCCUGAUCUCAUCUGAUCUCAGAAGCUAGGCAGGGUUGGUCCUUGUUAGUACUUAGUACUUGGAUGAGAGCCUAAGAGAUUGUAAAUC
rnacentral:rRNA from 1 species